UGUUGUGCAUCGAUUUGUCAU
ensembl:piRNA 21ur-7016 ncRNA